CUGCCACUUCCUCUUGAAGGCUAAACCCGCCAGCAUAAUGGCCUCAGAUGAGCCCACUGUUCCCACCCCUACUGCAGUUUCUGAGUCCCCCAGCGGCGCAUUGAAUAGAUGCGCUAUCAUAUUUACGCACCGAUUCUGCAAUUCGGUUGUGACGGGGUACUCGUCCAUGUCCACAUAGUUCUUGUUAAUGGCCGCCAUGAUGAGCUUGUCGCACUCUGGUUCCAUCCAUGUGGUGACGAACGACGCCAGGUUCAGCCGCGGAUUCCCGUCCAGCAUCAACUCGUCGUUUAUUAUCUGGUACGCCGCCUCCUUCGGUAUUGAAUUCUCCGACAUCUUGAACCUGCACUCUCCGGCCACGGCGCGCCGAUCAAUUAAUUCCAUCACCGUCGAAUAUAUACCCCCCCCCCUCCUUUUUUCUCAAUUUAAAAACAAACAAAACUACAGGAAGAAUCAAUUAGACAGUGGAUCGUUAGAUACCUGGGAAGCGAAGCUCGGACAUAUCGAGAAGCGAAGGUGGAGUGGACGGAGACGUCGGAUUCCGAUGCCGUCUUUGAGAGAACCAUGGUUGAUCCAGAAAAAAAUAAAAAAGCAGAGAGAGAGAGAGAGAGAGAGAGAGAGAGAGAGAGGAUGAGGAGGCUUGAACAGCAGACAGGCCUAGUGGCAAUUCUAUAUGUAGUGGCUGUCUGCUUUUCACAUCUGUUGUAAACGAUUUGACUUUGAUACUCAAUAAUGCAUU